rnacentral:rRNA from 1 species
CCUACGGGGUGCAGCAGUGGGGAAUAUUGGACAAUGGGCGAAAGCCUGAUCCAGCCAUGCCGCGUGUGUGAAGAAGGCCUUCGGGUUGUAAAGCACUUUCAGUGGGGAAGAAAGCCUUGGGGCUAAUACCCUCGAGGAAGGACAUCACCCACAGAAGAAGCACCGGCUAACUCCGUGCCAGCAGCCGCGGUAAUACGAAGGGUGCGAGCGUUAAUCGGAAUUACUGGGCGUAAAGCGCGCGUAGGCGGUCUGAUAAGCCGGUUGUGAAAGCCCCGGGCUCAACCUGGGAACGGCAUCCGGAACUGUCAGGCUAGAGUGCAGGAGAGGAAGGUAGAAUUCCCGGUGUAGCGGUGAAAUGCGUAGAGAUCGGGAGGAAUACCAGUGGCGAAGGCGGCCUUCUGGACUGACACUGACGCUGAGGUGCGAAAGCGUGGGUAGCAAACAGGAUUAGAUACCCGAGUAGUC